ACGGAUUAUUGGUCAAUGGCCGCAAGUUUGAACCAGCCAUGCCGCGUGGAGGAUGAAGGCCCUCUGGGUUGUAAACUUCUUUUAUAGGCGACGCACACGGGACUUUCUAGUCCAACUGACGGUACCCUAGGAAUAAGCACCGGCUAACUCCGUGCCAGCAGCCGCGGUAAUACGGAGGGUGCAAGCGUUAUCCGGAUUCACUGGGUUUAAAGGGUGCGUAGGUGGAUUAGUAAGUCAGUGGUGAAAUCUUCGAGCUUAACUCGGAAACUGCCAUUGAUACUAUUAGUCUUGAAUAUUGUGGAGGUUAGCGGAAUAUGUCAUGUAGCGGUGAAAUGCUUAGAUAUGACAUAGAACACCAAUUGCGAAGGCAGCUCACUGGAGUGUAACUGACGCUGAUGCUCGAAAGUGUGGGUAUCAAACA
rnacentral:rRNA from 1 species